UUAUCACAGUUUUUAUACUACCAGUCCCGGUUUCGAUCGAAACCGAAACUGGUUCUAUAAAACAUGCUAUAUCAACGGCGUUCUGAGGAUUGUCGCUAUUUUUUCAAGUGUUUAUUGCUAGAGUGCGUUCUCAACGUAAUAAAUCAGUGGUCGGAAAUGUCAUGUCAGCGUCCCAUUCAUAUGCGAUGCAAUGAAACAAUGUAUCGCGUCUUGAGUACGGUUGCAGCUACAGUGUACUGCUGCAGCAGCCUUCCGCUUGAUUUUCUUUUAAAAAGUAAAGUUACGGUUCCUUCGGAGAAGUCAUGUUAAUCUUGACGCAAUGUUUCAAAACUAGAAACGAAAACACUAAAAAAAAAAGCUACAAUGCGCGGUUUCGAACCCACGACGUUCAACACCACGAACUGCCGCGCUGAGUGCUAACCGACUUCGCCACCAAAGCAGCUCGGCGGCGGGGUUUAACAACGGCGUGUGUACGACGUGGUGAAUUACAAUGUGAUGAUCGUAGAUCGUAGUUCUUUCACUACAGCGCAGCUGUUGAAGUGACGGCCCUGGGCCCCCGUGCACCCAUGGCCCCGUCGUGGUGGUCGGUCCCGCCUCAGAAACGGCGCUUUCGGUUCUAUUUAGAACCGACUACAUCGUCAAAGUUCCCCUACAGAUUGUGUGGAGCCAGAAGAAAGAAUCGUCUGCUGCUCUAGAUGCUUCACAGGCAAGUUCAGAUGAGCUUACUGAGGACAAUGUUGGGCUCGAAGAUGAACCAUAUCUGCAGGAUGAAUUUCCUAUAACAGUCAGCAAGGUCCAUGGUAAUUCGGAAUGUAGUCAAGAGGUUCCUGAGGAUGUUGAAGUCGACAACCCAGAUGCUGACCUCUCUGAUUGUGUGGCAAGAAAUUCAGCAGUAAUGCUUCCUGGCCUCUCUCAUCCCAUGUCUCGAUGACAUUCUGCCAUCAAGAUACAUCAGGCAUUUCAUGCCGC